rnacentral:rRNA from 1 species
AUUGAACGCUGGCGGCAGGCCUAACACAUGCAAGUCGAGCGGAGCGGCGGACGGGUGAGUAAUGACUAGGAAUCUGCCCGGUAGUGGGGGACAACGUCCGGAAACGGCCCCUAAUACCGCAUACUAUCAGAUGAGCCUCGGUGGGAUUAGCUAGUUGGUGGGGUAAAGGGCUACCAAGGCGACGAUCCGUAACUGGUCUGAGAGGAUGAUCAGUCACACUGUAACUGAGACACGGUCCAGACUCCUACGGGAGGCAGCAGUGGGGAAUAGUGGACAAUGGGCGAAAGCCUGAUCCAGCCAUGCCGCGUGUGUGAAGAAGGUCUUCGGAUUGUAAAGCACUUUUAGUUGGGAGGCGUUACCAACAGAAUAAGCACCGGCUAACUUCGUGCCAGCAGCCGCGGUAAUUC